AAUGAACGUUGGCGGCAUGGAUUAGGCAUGCAAGUCGAGCGCGAAGAGUCAUUUGCCUGCAUUUGACUCUGAAAGCGGCGUAAGGGUGAGUAACGCGUAGUUACCUACCUCCGGGUCCGGAAUAGCUGCGGGAAACUGCAGGUAAUGCCGGAUAACAUCUCAGGAUCAAAGGUGAGAUUCCGCCCGGAGAGGGGACUGCGUCCUACUAGCUUGUUGGUGGGGUAAUGGCCUACCAAGGCUUCGAUGGGUAGCGGGCGUGAGAGCGUGGCCCGUCACACUGGGACUGAGACACUGCCCAGACACCUACGGGUGGCUGCAGUCGAGAAUCUUCGGCAAUGGGCGAAAGCCUGACCGAGCAAUGCCGCGUGCGGGAUGAAGGCCCUCGGGUUGUAAACCGCGAAAGUAAGGAGGAAGGACCUGCGAAGAGCAGGUUUUGACCGAUCUACAGUAAGGACGGGCUAAGUUCGUGCCAGCCGCCGCAGUAAUAC
rnacentral:rRNA from 1 species